GGUGGUGCAUGGCCGUUCUUAGUUCGUGGAGUAAUCUGUCUGGUUAAUUUCGAUAACGAACGAGACUAGAACAUAGUUAAUUGUGUGUGAUAUUAUUAUUUUAUUACACGGUGAUAAAUGGAUAUGCAAAUUAAAUUGCCUGAAAACUGGCAAUAACAGGUCUGUUAUGCCCUUAGUUGUCCGGGGCCGCACGCGCGCUACAAUGGAAAUUGCAGUGCGUAUAUACUAUAUCGAAAGAUAUGGUUAAACGUGUCAAAUUAUUCCGCAUUCGGGAUCGGAGACUGUAAUUGUUUCCGUGAACGAGGAACUUCAAGUAAGUGUGUGUCAUUAGCGCACGCUGAUUACGUCCCUGCCCUUUGUA
rnacentral:rRNA from 1 species